CUAAUACAUUCUCCAUUGUGACAAGAUUUUUGAUAUCUUAAUCAAUAUUGUCAGACAACAUAUGUAGUAUUUCGUUUGAUACGUCGACAAAUUUCAUGACCAUUUCAUUGCAAAUUGUUUGUAAACAGAUUAGCAAGCUGUUCGGGAUCUUUUUUACUCCCAAUUUUACAAAAAUACCCCAAAUUCCAAAUUUUCUAUAUUCUAUCACACUUGUACCAAGACAACACAUUGCUUCUUGCUCAUAAUUAUCAAACUAGAGACUCCACUAUAAUUAAAACAUAUUAUCAAGUUAGAUUGAAUUAUUCGAUUUCGACUAUUACAAUCAAGAACCAUACUAGACUAGACAAUUUUUUGAUUUAAAAGAACUGAAACAGACUUAAAUUUAGUUCAUGUUUGUUUCCCACUUGUCCUGCAUAAAAAUAAGUUUUUUUAACUGUUGGAAGUCUGCAACUCACCCACAAUGUGAGAGGCCAGUCAAAAAAAGGGUCGGACGGGGUCCAUUAACAGUCUAAUUUCUUCUAAAAAUGAGAAACAAAUGAUAAAUAAACAGAGGCUUAAACAAAUCGAAUCAGAUCGGCUGGCUGAGCUCAAUCUCUUGUGAUCUAUAUUGCCCAAUGCUAACUCUAGCCAAACCCAUGCUGAAAACGAAGGACAAGAGUCAUGAAAAAUGAGAGAAAAACCAAAAGGGUCAGAAUGCGAAAGUGUUGGUGUGAGUAAUGUUGAAUUAUGUGAAAAGUGAAUGGAAACAACUAUUUAUGAAAAAAUAGUGGAAGAGGUUUUCAAUAUUUGAUUAGUGUAGCACUUAGAUACUUAAAUCCUCAAACUUCAAAACAUAACAUUUAAAACCUCGUCAAUAUUUCAAUUUGGUAGUAGCGAAGUCAUAUAUCUAACUUGUGAUUAUGCCCUGUGACGAUGACUUCUAGAAUAUGCUUGUCCUUUUUUCUAAAAGACGUGUAUUUUUGGAUAGGAUUUACCAAGACCAAUCACAUUUAUUGACCAAUAUUUCUCGGUAGUUGUGUAUUUUUAGACACAACUUUUCAACUAUUAUAAAUUGACCCGGUAUUCCGGCCUAAUCGAUUCAAUUCUUUGACCUUGCUUCCACUUUCAUUUUGCCCUGCAUUCUUAAGGCAAAUCAUCUUAUGAACAAAAAGUCGAACUUUAAACUUGAUCUACCAUUUUCUAAUUUCUGCUUAUUACUUCUCAAGUAAGUACUCUGCAUAUUUUUAGUUUAUGUUGGUGUUCUACGCCUUUAAUAAUAAAAUCUCGUUUGUCCGAUCUAUAUUAAGUGGAUUAACACGAUCUUUUUAUCCGUUCAAAGUAAAAUCACUAGAUGAUCCAGAAAUUAAAACAAAAAAGGGUGAACUACCAGAGCUUGGCAGGAUCAAAUAGUCUCAAGAAAAGUAAUCCACACUCAUAAAUUAUCUCAUGUUCGUGAAGAAAAUAAAAUUUAAAACAGUAAUGUUGAUUAUAUUAAGCAGAAUUACCUUUGUCUUGGAUAAAAAUGUAGCUAGGUAGCCCGACCAGUUGAAAGUCAAUGAAGGAGGUGGAGUAAUGAAGAUGUUUGUUGAUGAUCAUCUAAUUAUUCCACAAAUGCUGCAUACAAAGUGCAGGAUUGAUUAGAUGACCAUCAACAAAACAUGUUCAGAGCACCACUGAUUAAUACACAGUUUGCCUUGAGCUUUA
rnacentral:lncRNA from 1 species